GACGAAGGGUGCUAGCGUUGUUCGGAAUGACUGGGCGUAAAGGGCGCGUAGGCGGUUUUUUAAGUUAGACGUGAAAGCCCCGGGCUUAACCCGGGACGUGCGUUUAAGACUGGGAAACUUGAGUUUGGAAGAGGAAAGUGGAAUUCCUAGUGUAGAGGUGAAAUUCGUAGAUAUUAGGAAGAACACCAGUGGCGAAGGCGACUUUCUGGUCCAAUACUGACGCUGAGGCGCGAAAGUGUGGGGAGCAAACAGG
rnacentral:rRNA from 1 species